GCCUCCCCAGUGCCCGGCACAGGGGCACGGUCCCUGCCCUGCUCCUGCUGGCCACACCACUCCUCAGACAAGCCAGGGUGCCCUUGGCCCUCUUGGACAACUGGACACUCUGCUGGCUUCCAUCCAGCGGGCUGUCAUCCAGUC